rnacentral:misc_RNA from 1 species
AGCAGGACCAGCUCAGGCAUCUCAAGCGCUUUAAUGUGGGUGAAGAUUGCCCUGUCUUUGAUGGCCUCUACUCCUUCUGUCAAACUUAUGCCGGUGGCUCUGUUGGUGGUGCUGUCAAAUUAAACCAUGGUCUUUGUGACAUUGCUAUCAAUUGGGCCGGCGGCCUUCAUCAUGCUAAGAAGUGUGAAGCUUCUGGCUUUUGCUAUGUCAAUGAUAUUGUCCUUGCAAUCUUGGAGCUUCUUAAACAGCAUGAGCGUGUUCUUUAUGUGGAUAUUGACAUUCACCAUGGUGAUGGUGUGGAGGAGGCAUUUUACACCACUGAUAGGGUCAUGACUGUUUCAUUUCACAAAUUUGGAGAUUAUUUUCCAGGUACAGGGGAUGUACGUGAUGUUGGAUAUGGGAAAGGGAAAUACUAUUCCCUUAAUGUUCCAUUGGAUGAUGGAAUAGACGAUGAGAGCUAUCAUUUCCUUUUUAAACCAAUAAUUGGAAAAGUAAUGGAAUUCUUUAAGCCUGGUGCUGUGGUUCUUCAAUGUGGCGCUGACUCGUUAUCUGGGGAUAGAUUAGGAUGCUUCAAUCUUUCAAUCAAGGGCCAUGCAGAGUGUGUGAAAUUCAUGAGAUCUUUCAAUGUCCCAUUAUUGCUAUUGGGUGGUGGUGGUUAUACCAUUCGGAAUGUUGCUCGCUGCUGGUGCUAUGAGACAGGAGUUGCACUUGGAAUGGAAGUUGAUAACAAGAUGCCACAGCAUGAGUAUUAUGAAUACUUUGGUCCUGACUAUACCCUCCAUGUUGCUCCUAGUAAUAUGGAGAAUAAGAAUUCGCGUCAAUUGCUGGAUGAUAUACGAUCCAAGCUUCUUGAUAAUCUCUUGAAGCUUCAACAUGCACCCAGUGUCCAAUUUCAGGAAAGACCACCCAAUACUGAGCUCCCAGAGGUGGAUGAAGAUCAGGAUGAUGGAGAUGAGAGAUGGGAUAUGGAUUAUGACAUGGAUGUUGAUGAUGAGCGCAAGUCUUUACCAAGCAGAGUGAAGAAAGAAUUAGUUGAGGCUGAGCCGAAAGAUCUGGAGAGUCAGAAAGGAAUUGCUGAGCAUGCUAGAGGCUUUGAAACAACUACAGAUGAGACCGCUGGUGCUAAGGCUUUAGAUGUGGGUCCAAUGCAAAUUGAUGAAUCAAGUUUAAAGGUCGAACAGGAAAAUUUGAGCAAGACAUCUGAUCAAGUGUUCACCAAAUCAUAAGUACAAAUCCAAAUCAGCCAAAUUGUUUAUGUAAGCAACUAGGCAUUGUUGAGUUUGUGGGUGAGUCUCUAAACUUGUACAAGCUAUGAAAACCUAAAUGAUUUUGUUUCCAAUUAUGGAUUGUUUAAAGGAACAAGUUGUAUUCAUAUUGUGAAAACUUGAGUGAAUCUCAAAAAAUGAUUUAAAUA